GACGAACGCUGGCGGCGUGCUUAACACAUGCAAGUCGAACGGUGAACCGGGCUUCGGCCCGGGGAUCAGUGGCGAACGGGUGCGUAACACGUGGGCAACCUGCCCCAGACACUGGGAUAACUCCGGGAAACCGGGGCUAAUACCGGAUACUCUCAGCCGGCCGCAUGACCGGCUGAGGAAAGCUCCGGCGGUCUGGGAUGGGCCCGCGGCCUAUCAGCUUGUUGGUGGGGUAACGGCCUACCAAGGCGACGACGGGUAGCUGGUCUGAGAGGACGGCCAGCCACACUGGGACUGAGACACGGCCCAGACUCCUACGGGAGGCAGCAGUGGGGAAUCUUGCACAAUGGGCGCAAGCCUGAUGCAGCGACGCCGCGUGGGGGAUGAAUGCCUUCGGGUUGUAAACCCCUUUCGGCAGGGACGAAGCGAAAGUGACGGUACCUGCAGAAGAAGUCCCGGCUAACUACGUGCCAGCCGCCGCCGUAAAAC
rnacentral:rRNA from 1 species